AAAAGGGGAAGGAUAAAAAAUUGUGGGCGUGUAGUUUUUAGGUAAGAUAUAAAUUCAGGAAAUACAGCUGUGCGAAUACCAGAGACCAACCGACACGAGACCAUUGAAACAACCAACGAUAAUCUCAGCAUCCAAAACCAACACAAUGAAGAGCUUUCUUCUGCUCAUCCUCUCACUGAUGACAGGUUGUGAGGCCAGUUCUAUGAUAACAGUAUGCCAAGAAGGAUGGUUUGAAUUCACCUGCAAUUACCCAAAUACAACUGGAAAAUACAGUAAUAUAACUGUAGUUAAUCCAAGAGAAACCGUCAUACAGAGUAUUCAAACGGUGUGUGGGAAACCAAAGACCACGUUUCCCUGUACCAUGAUACAAAAAAUAAAAAACUCAGGGUGGCCAUCAGACAACUUCAACGUGAGGACUUUGGGGAAUACAAAUGUGAAUAUUAUCAAGGACUAAACUCAACCUUUGUCACUGAGGAUCUUAAACUAGUAGUUGGUACGGAGAUACAGGAACAAACCUAAAAACCAGACAGGAGCUGCGCUGCGAUUUACGUCUCCGAUUAUUCCAACGAACUCCUCUACCUUAGUGCACGCCUCGACGACAGCACUGCUCCGUCGUCAACUUCCAAAACAACCCUGACAAAGCCGAUAUACUCAUCCCCAAAACCAGCUACUCAACAGUCAGUAUUGUUUGCCUUUACCUUCUCUGUUGUUUUUGUAUAUGCAAUUGAUUACUGAUAAAUUGUUGCUCUAAAUUCUUGUGUAAUGAAUCAUCAUCACUUUUCUCCUGGCUGUGCACUUAUCUUGCUGUAUGACUUGUUUGUGUUGUGAUGGAACAGUUUGCUUAGGCUUCCUCUCGAAACCACAGCCAUAUCUCAGAAUUUAUGCUUAUCUUUGUGUUGGCCACACGACCGUCGUACACCAGCUCUACCUCGUCUGCAUGCACAUUUGAGUAAUUUCCUCUGUCUGGGUUAGACAGAGGAAGGGCCUCAUGUAAAUGACAUUAAACUUGCUACUAAAGGGGUAAGCUACAAAUGACAUCCUGUCUGACGGUAUUAAUAUAAUGAACACACUUAACUUAAAGUAGCUUGGUGAGAGAGUUAAAAGGCUUUUUUUUUUUAAUUUUAGGUUAAUUGCCCAGCCAUAAAAUAAACAAAAUAAAACAGUCUCUGUUCAGAGCACUGAGAAUUACAUUGAAAUACCAAACCAAAAGAAAAUAAGGUUUUUAUUGCGUAUUACUCUACAGAUUAUUACAUUAUCCCAUUUAUUUAUCCCAUCCACAUUUAAUCCAGUUUAGUCAAAACAGCAAGACUUUUAAUUGUUUGAUUAUGUACAUUUGGGAAUCUGGAGGGCCUAUCAGCAGGCAAAGUGUGAAAAAAGAGGACUCAGUCAUGUUUUUGUGGGCUGCCUCGGUCAAAAUAAAGGGAGAUACAACACUCAA